rnacentral:rRNA from 1 species
CCUACGGGAGGCAGCAGUGGGGAAUUUUCCGCAAUGGGCGAAAGCCUGACGGAGCAAUCUCGCGUGAGGGAUGACGGCCUAUGGGUUGUAAACCUCUUUUUUCAGGGAGGAAUCAAUGACGUGUACCUGAAGAAUAAGCAUCGGCUAACUCCGUGCCAGCAGCCGCGGUAAGACGGAGGAUGCAAGUGUUAUCCGGAAUCACUGGGCGUAAAGCGUCUGUAGGUGGUUUAAUAAGUCAACUGUUAAAUCUUGAGGCUCAACUUCAAAAUCGCAGUCGAAACUAUUAGACUAGAGUAUAGUAGAGGUAAAGGGAAUUUCCAGUGGAGCGGUGAAAUGCGUAGAUAUUGGAAAGAACACCGAUGGCGAAAGCACUUUACUGGGCUAUUACUAACACUCAGAGACGAAAGCUAGGGUAGCAAAUGGGAUUAGAUACCCUGGUAGUC